ACCUUUGUGGUGUAGUGGUCAGCACGCUCGAUUCGUAUUUGAGAGGUCCGUGGUUCGAGUCCCGGCGAGGGCC
rnacentral:tRNA from 1 species